rnacentral:rRNA from 1 species
AACGAACGCUGGCGGCAGGCCUAACUCAUGCAAGUCGAGCGAGGACUUCGGUCCUAGCGGCGGACGGGUGAGUAACGCGUGGGAACGUGCCCUUUGCUUCGGAAUAGCCCUGGGAAACUGGGAGUAAUACCGGAUGAGCCCUUUGGGGGAAAGAUUUAUCGGCGAAGGAUCGGCCCGCGUUGGAUUAGGUAGUUGGUGGGGUAAUGGCCUACCAAGCCGACGAUCCAUAGCUGGUUUGAGAGGAUGAUCAGCCACACUGGGACUGAGACACGGCCCAGACUCCUACGGGAGGCAGCAGUGGGGAAUCUUAGACAAUGGGGGAAACCCUGAUCUAGCCAUGCCGCGUGAGAGAUGAAGGCCUUAGGGUUGUAAAGCUCUUUCAGCUGGGAAGAUAAUGACGGUACCAGCAGAAGAAGCCCCGGCUAACUCCGUG